rnacentral:rRNA from 1 species
GAUGAACGCUGACAGAAUGCUUAACACAUGCAAGUCCACUUGAACUUCGGUUUGGGUGGCGGACGGGUGAGUAACGCGUAAAGAACUUGCCUCACAGAUAGGGACAACAUUUGGAAACGAAUGCUAAUACCUGAUAUUAUGAUUAUAUGGCAUCGUAUAAUUAUGAAAGCUAUAUGCGCUGUGAGAGAGCUUUGCGUCCCAUUAGCUAGUUGGAGAGGUAACGGCUCACCAAGGCGAUGAUGGGUAGCCGGCCUGAGAGGGUGAUCGGCCACAAGGGGACUGAGACACGGCCCUUACUCCUACGGGAGGCAGCAGUGGGGAAUAUUGGACAAUGGACCAAGAGUCUGAUCCAGCAAUUCUGUGUGCACGAUGAAGUUUUUCGGAAUGUAAAGUGCUUUCAGUUGGGAAGAAAAAAAUGGCGGUACCAACAGAAGAAGUGACGGCUAAAUACGUG